rnacentral:ncRNA from 2 species
AUGUGCGCCAGUCUCCGAGCCAGUCUUGCCUAAGGGGAAGGCCCCCAGGGCAGGCGGCCAAAGGGUUCCGCUGGAAACGGCGGUGCCUCCCGCGCUUGGAAAGGAGAUAUGCCCGGAAUUCC